rnacentral:lncRNA from 1 species
UUAGUCUUUAAGUUGAUUAGCCCAUUCCGGAUUUAGCCCAUUCCGGAUUUAUUGAAACAUUUGCAGUCUUGACCCCAAGCUUUAUCGUUAUCACAUCCAAGUCCAUUUAUUGAAACUUUUGCGCUAUUGCCCUUAAGUUCGUCUGUUAUAACUUUAUUAGCCUUGGGCUUUUUACCUGCACAAUAUUCUUAAAACAAGUAAUUGCAUAUAUGUCCAAUUACAGUUUAAUUACAGAUUUAGUUAAUUUCUUUAGUUAGUUCUCUUAUUCCUUUAACAAGAACAUCAACAGACCAGGCCUAUCGCACUGACAACGGAUGAUAUCUCCGACCCGCCAGAGCAGUCUCGAGCAUUCCCAGAUCUGGCAUCAGCCAAACCCGACCCGACACGAGGCUCAGAAAUAUCCUCAGGCCGUUACCGACCCGACAUGCUAAAGAACUUAAGGCCAAGCCAGGCUCUUCGACCAUACUAGAGAGAAAAAGAGAGACUGAACCAUAAUCCGAUUGUCUAAGCACAUCUUCGACCAUGCAUC